rnacentral:misc_RNA from 1 species
GAUGAAGAACGCAGCGAAAUGCGAUAAGUAGUGUGAAUUGCAGAAUUCAGUGAAUCAUCGAAUCUUUGAACGCACAUUGCGCCCUUUGGUAUUCCAAAGGGCAUGCCUGUUCGAGCGUCAUUUGUACCCUCAAGCUUUGCUUGGUGUUGGGGCCUGCUGCACUGGCAGCCCUUAAAAUCAGUGGCGGCGCCAUCUGGCUCUAAGCGUAGUAAUUCUUCUCGCUAUGGAGUCCUGGUGGAUGCUUGCCAUCAACCCCCAAUUUUUCUAUGGUUGACCUCGGAUCAGGUAGGGAUACCCGCUGAACUUAAGCAUAUCAAUAAGCGGAGGA